UACGUCGAUAUCACGUUAAAACUCCUGUUCCCGUACGAUCACCGAAGUUAAGCAACGUCGAGUCUAGACAGUACCUAGAUGGGUGACCGCUUAGGAAUACCAGGUGCUGUGG